UAGGGAAUCUUCGGCAAUGGACGAAAGUCUGACCGAGCAACGCCGCGUGAGUGAAGAAGGUUUUCGAAUCGUAAAACUCUGUUGGUAGAGAAGAACGUUGGUGAGAGUGGAAAGCUCAUCAAGUGACGGUAACUACCCAGAAAGGGACGGCUAACUACGUGCCAG
rnacentral:rRNA from 1 species